rnacentral:rRNA from 1 species
CCUACGGGUGGCAGCAGUGGGGGAUAUUGCACAAUGAGGGAAACCCUGAUGCAGCGACGCCGCGUGAGUGAAGAAGUAUUUCGGUAUGUAAAGCUCUAUCAGCAGGGAAGAACAUGACAGUACCUGACCAAGAAGCCCCUGCUAACUACGUGCCAGCAGCCGCUGUAAUACGUAGGGGGCAAGCGUUAUCCGGUUUUUCUGGGUGUAAAGGGAGCGUAAACGGUUUUGUAAGUCUGGAGUGAAAGCCCGGGGGCCAACCCCGGGACUGCUUUGGAAACUGUGUAACUGGAGUACAGGAGGGGCAGGCGGAAUUGCUGGUGAAGCGGUGAAAUGCGUAGAUAUCAGGAGGAACACCGGAGGCGAAGGCGGCCUGCUGGACUGAAACUGACGUUGAGGCUCGAAAGCGUGGGGAGCAAACAGGAUUAGAUACCCCGGUAGUC